AUUGUGCAAGUGUCGGUCUAGGUCUCUCAAGAGUGGGCCACCAGUAGUCUGUGACAUGGCAGAAAGUGGUGACCUCUUCGAGAAUGGCAACACCUCUGCUUUGAUGGCAUGGCUGUUUUCCCUGUCUGUGUCAAAGAGAGGGCUGUACACAACCAUGUCGCUGCUCCUCUGCAUCUUUCAGCUAGGCCUACUAGUCGCUGAUGUCAUCCUGCACUUUGUUAUCAAGGACAACAGUUUUCCAAGCCAGCACCACACAGAGGCCAUACUGUUCUUUCAGGUGGUGAGUUUCUACUGGUCACUGAUGGGCUCAGUGUAUUCACUCCAAGCAGGAAAUCGCAAGAUGGGCUUCAUUGCCCUAC